rnacentral:rRNA from 1 species
UUAAGAGUAUAUGGUGGAUGCCUUGGCAAUAAACAACGAUGAAGGACGUGACCGGCUGCGAUAAGCUACGGGGAGGUGCUGAGUAACCGUUAAUCCGUAGAUUUCCGAAUGGGGAAACCCCCUUACCGUAAUUGGUGAGGACUACCUUGCUGCAAGGCAGGGAUAGGGACAACCUUGCGAAUUGAAACAUCUUAGUAGCAAGAGGAAAAGAAACGAAAGGCGAGCUUUUAGAGUAUUAGCUGAUAGCUGUUAGGAGUUAUCGUUUUCGAUGGCUUCUAUAAGCUAAAAGCUAUAACCUAAGAAGCUUGUUACAUUCUCUUAGUAGUGGCGAGCGAAAAGGGAACAGCCCAAACCGCGCGUAUGUAAUAACCCAUAAAGGUGUUGUACGUGCGGGGUUGUAGGUUUAUGCGACUGUAAUUUAUGAAAGCAAGAUAUGAUUUGUGUAUUUGUCUAGGAGAACGCGGCUGGAAUGCCCGACCAUAGAGGGUGAGAGUCCCGUAACUAAAAGAUAUACGCAACGUAUCAGCAUAGACCUGAGUAGAGCGGGACACGACAAGCCCGUUUGAAUCUGGGAGGACUAAACUCCUAAGGCUAAAUAUGUUUAUUGACCGAUAGUGAACUAGUACCGUGAGGGAAAGGUGAAAAGAACCCCGUUCAGGGGAGUGAAAUAGACCUGAAACCAUAUACUUACAUAGAGUAGGAGCCCCGUAUUUAUACGUGGGUGACUGCGUGCUUUUUGCAGAACGAACCAUCGAGUUCGCUGUAUGCCGUUUGCUUAAGUCUCAAACCGAGACGGAGGCGUAGCGAAAGCGAGUAUUAAUAGUGCGUUUAUAAUGGCAUGCACGAGACCCGAAACCGGGUGAUCUAUCCAUGAGCAGGGUGAAGUUUUGCGAAAGCAAAAUGGAGGCCCGAACCCGUUGGCUGUUCAAUACCAUGGGAUGACUUGUGGAUAGCGGAGAAAUUCCAAUCGAACCCGGAAAUAGCUGGUUCUCGUCGAAAUAGCUUUAGGGCUAGCCUCGUGAGGUAGCUAAGAGAGGUAGAGCACUGCAAGGGAUCUGGGGGCUUCUAGUUCUCGACCCUAGCAAACUCCGAAUACUUUUAGUGUGAAUCACGGGAGUCAGAACGCGGGGGCUAAGCUCCGCGCUCAAAAGGGAAACAGCCCAGAUCAUAGCUUAAGGUCCCUAAAUACUGUCUAAGUGGUUAAGGCGGUGGAGUUGCACAGACAGCGAGGCAGUUGGCUUAGAAGCAGCCACCUGUUAAAGAUAGCGUAACAGCUCACUCGUUAAGCGACUCUGCGCCGAAAAUUCAACGGGGCUCAAGACAGUUACCGAAAGCAUGAACUUUUCCGCCUCUGGCGGAGGAGUGGUAGACGAGCGUUUCAUUUGCGUCGAAGGCGUACCGUGAGGUCCGCUGGAGCGAAUGGAAGUGAGGAUGAUGGUAUAAGUAACAAGACACAAGGUGAGAACCCUUGUCACCGUAAACCUAAGGUUUCCUGGGCAAUGUCGAUCAUCCCAGGGUUAGUCGUACCUAAGCUCAGGCCGAAAGGCGUAGGCGAUGGACAACAGGUUAAUAUUCCUGUACCGACUAUAGAGUUUGUAAGACGUGACGAAUCGUCACACCUCAUCAGGACAUAUGACUUAUCCUGUGGGGCACACUAGUUGGGUCAGCAAGGUAAAUCCGGCUGGCCAUCCGCUUCGGCGGAAAACAGCGAAGUGCUUCAGGAGAGCGCGAGCUUCGGCUCAAACCUCUAUAAGGAAAGACGGUUCCCGGAAAAGCGUCGUACAAUUUCCUCUAUGGCCGACCGUACCGCAAACCAACACAGGUAGGUGGAUGUAAGAGCAUUAAGGUGAUCGGGAGUACCCUCGUUAAGGAACUCGGCAAAAUAGCAGCCGUACGUUCGCAAUAAGGCUUACCUGUACCGCAGCGCAAGCUGUAGGUGCAGGUCGCAGCGCAAGAUCCCUGGCGACUGUUUAACAAAAACACAGGUUCCUGCUAACUCGUAAGAGGAUGUAUAGGAGCUGACUCCUGGCCAGUGUCGGAACGUUAAAAUCGCUCGUUAACGCGAGUGAUCCAAGCGCCGAUGAACGCCGGCCGUAACUAUGAACCAAACUGUAGUUAUAAAAUUUGGCUAAAUGCUGGAAUAUCUGAGUAUCUCGAGAUACUAAUCUGUCAUUCCGGACUUGCUCCGGAAUCCAGGUAGUGAAAAUUCUUGAGUGCAGACAAUCAGCAGGAAAGAUCCCGCUUCGGCGGGAAAUCCUCAGAGACUACACGCCAAACCCUGAACCCAGCGUGGUUUACGGGAUGAUAUAGUCCGAUCCUUAUGGCGACAUAAGGAGCAUGGCAGAAAUGUUCAUGCCAUCUGCAAUAUAUGCAGAGAGUAACAACAAUGAACGGUCCUAAGGUAGAAGGAAUUUCUCUACUAUUCGCGAAAGAAUUGAAGAGUUGCUGCCUUAAUAAAACUAGGCCAAAUGCUGGAAACCCUGAGUAUUCAGCUGUACUCAAAUAUGGUAAAAUGAACCUAUGUUGAGUGACAAUCAGUCUGAUGCAGACAAUCAGCAGGAAAGGCCGAGUAUUGAGAAUAUCCCAGAAGAUACCGGUUGGUAUCUUUCAGGAUUUACUGAUGGAGAAGGAAGCUUUAACGUUUCCACGAUCAAUCGCAAUAAAGAUUUUAAAACAGGAUGGAAAAUAGCAUUAUCGUUCAAUAUCUCUCAACGAGACACGACAGUGCUCAACUUGUUUCAAAAAACUUUACAGUGCGGAACAUUUCGGAAACGCAAAGACGGAGUAACGUACUAUGAAGUUCGUCGUAUAGAUGAUCUCCAAAACACUGUUAUUCCAUUCUUUGAACGCUUUAUCCUAAAAUCAGUAUCGAAACGAAAACAAUUCGAGAUAUUUCGUGAGAUUUUGCAGAUAGUUGCUCAAAAAGAGCAUCUUACUACAAACGGUCUCAAGAAAAUAUUUUUGCUUCGCCAAACCAUUGUGGUUGGGAGA